rfam:Chryseobacterium gleum ATCC 35910 genomic scaffold SCAFFOLD1, whole genome shotgun sequence.
AUGGGGAAAGCCGAAAACCCGAUCAGAGUAGGCA